rfam:Nematostella vectensis strain CH2 x CH6 NEMVEscaffold_125_Cont14352, whole genome shotgun sequence.
GCGUUGUUGGUACAGUGGUUAGCAUAGCUGUCUUCCAAGCAGUUGACCCGGGUUCGAUUCCCGGCCAACGUA